rnacentral:rRNA from 1 species
UUAACGGCCGCGGUAUUUUGACCGUGCAAAGGUAGCAUAAUCAUUUGUCCUUUAAUUGGGGGCUAGAAUGAAAGAAAGUUUGAAGCUUUUUCUGUCUCUUUUUUAUUUUUGUAAUUUGCUGUUCUUGUGAAGAAGCAAGAGUUGUUAAAAAAGACAAGAAGACCCUAUUAAGCUUUUUUUUUUUGUUUUUAUUCGUUUGAAUAUAAAAACAAAAAGAUUUGGUUGGGGUGACUAAAGAAGAAAAAUUUAUCUUCUUUUUUUAAAAAUAACUAUUUGUUUAACAGAGACCCAAAAUUUUUUGGUUGUAAGAAUUAGUUACUAUAGGGAUAACAGCGUUAUCUUUUCAUAAAGUUCUUAUUGAAGAAAAGGAUUGCGACCUCGAUGUUGACUUACUUUAUCCUAUAAAGGUGUAGCAGCUGUGAGGGUUGGU